GUCUGACGGAGCACGCCGCGUGAGUGAUGAAGGUUUUCGGAUCGUAAAGCUCUGUUGUUAGGGAAGAACAAGUGCAAGAGUAACUGCUUGCACCUUGACGGUACCUAACCAGAAAGCCACGGCUAACUACGUGCCAGCAGCCGCGGUAAUACGUAGGUGGCAAGCGUUGUCCGGAAUUAUUGGGCCGUAAAGGGCUCGCAGGCGGUUUCUUAAGUCUGAUGUGAAAGCCCCCGGCUCAACCGGGGAGGGUCAUUGGAAACUGGGAAACUUGAGUGCAGAAGAGGAGAGUGGAAUUCCACGUGUAGCGGUGAAAUGCGUAGAGAUGUGGAGGACACCAGUGGCGAAGGCACUCUCUGGUCUGUACUACGCUGAGGAGCGAAGCGUGGGGAGCNAACAGGAUUAGAUCCCUGGUAGUCC
rnacentral:rRNA from 1 species